rnacentral:sRNA from 1 species
GCUCCCACUGAGGCUAAGAAAGGUCUUCCUAAGAUCA